rnacentral:rRNA from 1 species
UACAGAGGUGGCAAGCGUUGUUCGGAAUUACUGGGCGUAAAGGGCGCGUAGGCGGCCAUCUAAGUCAGACGUGAAAUCCCCCGGCUUAACCUGGGAACUGCGUCUGAUACUGGACGGCUUGAGUAUGGGAGAGGAGCGCGGAAUUCCCGGUGUAGCGGUGAAAUGCGUAGAGAUCGGGAGGAAGGCCGGUGGCGAAGGCGGCGCUCUGGAACAUUUCUGACGCUGAGGCUCGAAAGCGUGGGGAGCAAACAGG